rnacentral:rRNA from 1 species
CCUACGGGAGGCAGCAGUGAGGAAUAUUGGUCAAUGGGCGGGAGCCUGAACCAGCCAAGUCGCGUGAGGGACGACGGUCCUAUGGAUUGUAAACCGCUUUUGUGGGGGAACAAAGGCCCUCACGGGUGGGCGUAUGAGUGUACCCCAAGAAUAAGCAUCGGCUAAUUCCGUGCCAGCAGCCGCGGUAAUACGGAGGAUGCGAGCGUUAUCCGGAUUUAUUGGGUUUAAAGGGUGCGUAGGCGGACAGUAAAGCCGGCGGUAAAAAUGCGGGGCUAAACACCGUACAGCCGUUGAAACUGGCAGGCUUGAGUGGGCGAGACGUAUGCGGAAUGCGUGGUGUAGCGGUGAAAUGCAUAGAUAUCACGAAGAACUCCGAUUGCGAAGGCAGCAUACCGGCGCCCUACUGACGCUGAGGCACGAAGGCGUGGGUAUCGAACAGGAUUAGAUACCCGUGUAGUC